AGUAUGAAUGGCUAAAUGAGGGCCCGACUGUCUCCUAAGGCUGACCAAUGAAAUUGACCUCACAGUACAAAUGCUGUGAUGAUUACAUAAGACGAAAAGACCCUAUGGAGCUUCAAACCUACGUACUACCGCAAACAAAACCUAAGCCUACCUAGUACAUAUUUUUAGUUGGGGCAACUACGGAGCAAAACAAAAACUCCAUGAUUAACAUAUAAUAAAUGUAUAACCACAGGCCGCCACGCCACACUAAUGUUUGACCCAGUAUAACUGAUCAUCGAACCAAGUUACCCUAGGGAUAACAGCGCCAUCUUCCCCCAAGAGCCCAUAUCAACGGGGAGGUUUACGACCUCGAUGUUGGAUCAGGACCCCCCGGCGGUGCAGCCGCUGCCAAAGGUUCGUUUGUUCAACGACUAAUGUCCU
rnacentral:rRNA from 1 species